UUAUGAAUUUAUUGAAAAGAUGUCACUGAAUAACUAACAGUCGCAAGGAGAACAAAGCCGACAAAAGCAACUUGUAAUGGGCCAAUUUAUCCCGGGCCCACGUUAGAACAAAAACCCAAAAUAAAUACCAAAUUAUUAAACCAAAAGUCCAAAGAAUGAAACCAAACUAAUAGUCUGCCAUAAAGGUCCAAAUAUUACAACCAAUAACAAUGCCCCAUAACCCAAAUACAACGGCCCAAUAACUGGAACAGACCCAAACGACCCCAAAAAUUGAGCCAAGUUUCGGCAAACCCUAAGUCACCCCUCUCUCCUGCGCCGCAACAACAACUGGGCAAUAGACCCAUACCUCCACUACAGCAGUCCCAUACCUCCACAGCCCUCGUACGCCACGCCCCCACCCCGUGCGCAUGCCAACAGACUCUGUACCUGCAAGAAAGAAACAAAAGCAGCAGCGAAUGGAAACAAAUAUAUUGUAUAUUUUCGGUUGAUUUCCUUUUUCGACUAUAAAAGCCCAGCUUUUAAUCUUUGUAAGGGGGGCAUACACACGUACAUUAUACGAAAAUUGAAUAGAAAAAUUCAAGAACAAUUUCUGAAGAGGUGAUCUUUCUUAGUCUUUUUAAUUUUUCUAUCAUUUUAUUUUUUUUCAUCGAUUGUUUUCAUCAUUUUCAUUCUAAAACAAAGAAGGGGAAAAAGCAAACCUUACCUUGCGAAACGGCCAUGGAUCUGUUCACUUCGUUAAGGUCGAGGUUGGAAAAGUCCUAAGGCGCCGUUGAUUGUUGUUGAUAUGCUAUCGACCACCUGAUUAAGUGGUGGAUUCGGUGGUUGCUGGAACAGACCUUAAUGAGUUGAUUUUCUAAGGCUGUGAAUUUUGGCUAAAUGAUGGCUGCGUUUGGGAAAAGAAGAAAGAAAAAAA
rnacentral:lncRNA from 1 species